CAGUUUAGAGAUUUUGCGUCUGACGUCAUCCGUGUUCACGUAAGCUGCUUGCGUUGAGUUCUUCUCCUCAAGAUGACGGAUCGGUCGCUUCAUGGGGUGCUAUUUCAAAUAAGAUGAUAGACUGGGAGUGCAGGGUGUAAAAAGAUUCAUCGUUCAAGACUCCACCUCCUCAGACACCACAGACUAGAACAUAGACACUGCUCAAAAAUAAGUCCACUUCCAUCUUGAAGAUUCUGAAGUGCACAUUGAGAAAGAGCCACUGGAGCAAUAUACGGUUGUGCGUUACAGCUCUAAUGGCCAAAUGCAUAGUGACCCAGUGAAUAUCUCUGUUGUUCUUGAGUACGAAUUGGUCACCACC